ensembl:lncRNA
GGGGGAGCAGGCCAGGUGGAAUCCAGUGCGCUUUGCUCUUGUUCUCAGUGCUUGUUUUUGCUCAGGAGGGCAGGUGGUGAAGCUCAUGAAGCAAUGCCUGCAGACGGGGUUUGUGGAGCAAGAGGUCCUGCAGGCCUUGUGUGACGCCCAUGGAGCUGUAGCGAGGCUGCGUCAGUGUAAAACAGCAGAAAUCCACGGAGGUGUGAAGGUGAGCAGUGGGCUCUAGUGCAGGAGGGGACGUGCAUGCUCAGGGUUUGGCUGCUUCUGUGUGUGUUUUAAGUGGCUGUGAUCCCACUGCUUGGUCCGUCUGAGUGUAUGGAACAAGUGUGACGCCCUUUGUGAUGGAGUCGUGUGAAAGGAGUCCUAUGGCUUUGAGAGCUGACUUGAAGCCUGUGGGCAUCACGGAGGAAUAGGGGAAGGGGAUGAGGCAAGGGAAGUUGGGAUAAGAGAACGAGGCGUAGGGACGGGAACCUCUUUGGUCGAUGGGAUGUCCUGCCGUUCUCUUUUUGGAUUAGGAAUCUCUGUGUGUUUUUUAAUGAAGAACAAACUCACUGUUCAGUUGUGAAUGAAUUAAUUCACGCCUGUUAGUUGGUGUUCUUCUCUACACGGAGCCGCAAUUGAAACGGACACUCCUGGUGUGAUGUCCGGCCUCGUCCUGUGUUCUCAGAUCCGCCAAGCUGGCAAGGCCUGGCUCUUGGUUGGUGAGCUGUGCCCAGGGUGAGAGAGUUGACUCUUCUGGGCUUUGAGACAUUUCUUCCAGUUGCAUGUUGUGUUAUUUCUGUUGUGUUGAUCUCUUGAGCUCCAGCCCAAGUGAGGAUCCAAGCAGUAGCGCGGAAGGAAUGGUUUAGUCUGGAAGUGCAAUGCGAAGGGCUGGAGGCAGCCAGAGCUGGGAAGUGAUCAUCCCCCUCCCUGUACUCAGCACUGGUGAGUCCUCACCUUGAGUACUGUGUUCAGUUCUGGGCCCCUCACUACAAGGGGGACCCUGAAAGCCUGAAGUGUGUCCAGAGAAGAGCAAUGAAGCUGUGAGGGGUCUAGAGCUCAAGUCUGGUGGGGAGCGGCUGAGGGAAGUGGGAUUCCUUAGUGUGGAGAAGAGGAGGCUGCGGGAAGACCACCUCACUCUGUCCAAUUCCGUGACGAGAGGUUAUGUGGAGGUGGAGAUGGUCCUCUUCUCCCACGGAACUAGUGCUAGGACUAGAGGGAAUGGCCUCAAGUUACAUGAGGGGAGAUUGGGGUUGGAUGUGAAGAAAACCUUCUCCCAGUGGUGCAAGUAGUAUUUCCUAACGUUCAGCCUGAAUCUUCCCUGGCGCAGCUUGAGGCCAUUCCCUCUAGUCCUAGCACUAGUCACACGAGAGAAGAGGCUGGCCCCCAGCUCACUACAGCCUCCCUUCAGGUAGUUAUAGAGAGCAAUAAGGUCUCUCCUGAGCCUCCUCUUCUCCAGACUGAACAAUCCCAGCUCCUUCAGCCACUCCUCGUAAGGCCUGUGCUCCAGACCCCUCACCAGCUUUGUUGCCCUCCUCUGGACACGCUCCAGGGCCUCGGUGUCUUUCUUACAGUGAGGGGCCCAAAACUGGGCACAGUGCUCGAGGUGCGGCCUCACCAGUGCUGAGUACAGGGGGACAAUUACGUCCCUAUUCCUGCUGGCCACACUACUUCUGAUACAAGCCCGGAUGCCGUUGGCCUUCUUGGCCUCCUGGGCACACUGCUGGCAGUGUUCAGUCUAGCGUCAAUCAACGCCCCAGGUCCAUUUCCUCUACACAGUCUUCCAGCCACUCUGCCCCAAGCCUGUAGCGUUGCCUGGGGUUAUUGCGGCCAAAGUGCACUCUUUGUGCCACGAGAGCUCUCCUGCUUCUACCUGCGACGUGAGACUGUAUCGAAGGCCCUGCGGCUGUCUGGGUAGGUGAUGUCAGUUGCUCUUCCUUUCCCCACCAGUGCUGGACAUAGUGGGGAACAGGACUGGGGGACAUCCCAGCAGUGGGUUCCUACCUCAGCCAAACUGAAGGGCUG